GUUAAGACGAUGAUCGGGAAUAGUAGGCCGGGGGUUGAAAUUUAGCGAGCCGGGGAGGGUGGAAGCCCGGCAUGGAGACCCCGGUUGAAUGGGCCCGGGAGUUGCGGACCGAAACCGGAAGGGAGUAGGCUCCGACGGGGGCUUCCGCCGUUAAAAGGAAGGGGAUAUCGGCCAUGGGGCCCGUAUCCUGUAAGAGAUACCCGGCGAUAAACCGCCGGGUAACCAGGGUGGUACCGCGAGAAACCCUCGCCCCUUGA
rnacentral:ncRNA from 1 species